rnacentral:rRNA from 1 species
CAGUAGCCGCGGUAAUACGGAGGGUGCAAGCGUUAAUCGGAAUUACUGGGCGUAAAGCGCACGCAGGCGGUCUGUCAAGUCAGAUGUGAAAUCCCCGGGCUUAACCUGGGAACUGCAUUUGAAACUGGCAGGCUAGAGUCUUGUAGAGGGGGGUAGAAUUCCAGGUGUAGCGGUGAAAUGCGUAGAGAUCGGGAGGAACAUCAGUGGCGAAGGCGGCCAUCUGGGACAACACUGACGCUGAGGCACGAAAGCGUGGGGAGCAAACAGGAUUAGAUACCCCUGUAGUCCCUGUCUCUUAUAA